rnacentral:rRNA from 1 species
CCUACGGGAGGCAGCAGUGAGUAAUAUUGGUCAAUGGGCGGAAGCCUGAACCAGCCAAGUAGCGUGCAGGCUGACGGCCCUACGGGUUGUAAACUGCUUUUAUACGGGAAUAACGCGCCUUACGUGUAGGGCUUUGCAUGUACCGUAUGAAUAAGGACCGGCUAAUUCCGUGCCAGCAGCCGCGGUAAUACGGAAGAUCCGGGCGUUAUACGGUUUUAGUGGGUUUAAAGGUAGCGUAGGUCGCAUGUCAAGCGUGCUGGGAAAUGAACGGGCGCAACCCGGGCCUUGCAGCGGUAAUUGGCGUGCUUGAGACCGCGGAAAGCAGGCGGAAUUCGUCGUGUAGCGGUGAAAUGCUUAGAUAUGACGAAGAACCCCGAUUGCGAAGGCAGCUUGCUGCAGCGGAACUGACGCUGAUGCUCGAAAGCGCGGGUAUCGAACAGGAUUAGAUACCCCUGUAGUC